UUGAUGGAUAGUAUGAAUGGUAUAACGAGUAUAACACUGUCUCAAAUAAAAAUCUUAUAAAAUUAGAAUAAUAGUAAAGAUACUAUUUUAAACUGUAAGACGAGAAGACCCUAUAGAGCUUAACUAUAACUCUUUAACGAUUAAUAAACUAGUUUAUUAACAAAAAGAGAUAGGUAGUUUAGUUGGGGCGACUACUUUCUAAAAUAAACGAAAGUAAACAAAAAUUAAUUAAAAAAAUUUACUGUUUAAUUCAUAAAUUUAACAGUUAUUAUAAUAGGUAAUAAUGACCCGUUAACAGUUAAUAAUAGUGCUAACGAUCAAUAAAUAAAAGCUACCUUAGGGAUAACAGGAUAAUUUUGUU
rnacentral:rRNA from 5 species